UUUUUGGGGUGAAUUCUGGGGAUUUGGGGUUUUUUGGGAUUUUCUUGGGUUUUCGUUGGGUUUCGGUUGGGUUUUGUUGGGUUCUCGUUGGGUUUUUGUUGGGUUCUCAUUGGGUUCCUCUUCUUGUUGGGUUCCUUUUGAGGUCUUGGUCUUCUCCAAGUCCAGCAAGUGUGAGUGCUGGGCUCAUUUUUGGGGUGAAUUCUGGGGAUUUUGGGUUUUUUGGGAUUUUUUGGGGUGUUUUCGUUGGGUUUUGUUGGGUUUUGGUUGGGUUCUUGUUGGUUUUUUGUUGGGUUCUCGUUGGGUUCCUCUUCUUGUUGGGCUCCUUUUGAGGUCUUGUUCUCCUCCAAGUCCAGCAAGUGUGAGUGCUGGGCUCAUUUUUGGGGUGAAUUCUGGGGAUUUUGGGUUUUUGGGGAUUUUUUGGGGGGUUUUCGUUGGGUUUCGGUUGGGUUUUGUUGGGUUCUCGUUGGGUUUUGUUGGGUUUUUGUUGGGUUCUUGUUGGGUUUCCUCUUCUUGUUGGGUUCCUUUUGAGGUCUUGUUCUCCUCCAAGUCCAGCAAGUGUGAGUGCUGGGCUCAUUUUUGGGGUGAAUUGUGGGGAUUUGGGGUUCUUUGGGAUUUUUGGGGGUUUUCGUUGGGUUUUCGUUGGGUUCUCGUUGGGUUUCCUCUUCUUGUUGGGCUCCUUUUGGGGUCAACAGCAAGAGUGGCCAGUGUGGUUCCUCCUCCAAGUCCGGCAAGUGUGAGUGCCGGGCUCGUUUUUGGGGUGAAUUCUGGGGAUUUUGGGUUUUUGGGGAUUUUUUUGGGUGUUUUCGUUGGGUUUUUGUUGGGUUCUCGUUGGGUUUUUGUUGGGUUCUCGUUGGGUUUGGUUGGGUUUUUGUUGGGUUCUCGUUGGAUUCCUCUUCAUGUUGGGCUCCUUUUGGCGUCUUGGUCUUCUCCAAAUCCGAUAAAUGUGAGUGGUGGGCUCAGUUUUGGGGUGAAUUCUGGGGAUUUUGGGUUUUGGGGGGAUUUUUUUGGGUUUUCCUUGGGUUUCGGUUGGGAUUUUUGUUGGGUUCUCGUUGGGUUUCCUCUUCUUGUUGGGCUCCUUUUUGGGGUCAACAGCAAGAGCGGCCAGCGCGGCUCCUCCUCCAAGUCCAGCAAGUGUGAGUGCCGGGCUCGUUUUUGGGGUGAAUUCUGGGGAUUUUGGGUUUUUUGUUUUUUUUGUUGGGUUUCGGUUGGGUUUUGAUUGGGUUCUUGUUGGGUUUUUGUUGGGUUCUUGUUGGGUUUCAUCUUCUUGUUAGGCUCCUUUUGGGGUCUUGGUCUCCUCCAAGUCCAGCAAGUGUUAGUGCUGGGCUCGGUUUUGGGGUGAGUUCUGGGACUUUUGGGUUUUCGGGGUUUUUUGGGGAGAUUUUGGGGGAUUUCAUUGGGUUUUCAUUAGGUUUU
rnacentral:lncRNA from 1 species